rnacentral:misc_RNA from 1 species
AAGUACAGAAGCGAGUGACAUGCGAUCGGUUAAUGAUAAAGAGAGAUGGAUUAAAUCAUAACAUGUAAACCACAGAAUGUUUGAUGACUGCCUAGCGUCUGAGGCCCUGUAUGUGGGUCUGUGUGUUUAUAUAGGGGCACCGAUAGAAGUGACGGUCAGGAGGGAGGUAAUGGACACAGAUGAAUUAUUAAAAAUAUUUCUAGAAGAACUAGAACAUUCUGGAAACAGGCUUAUGUGCAGUGGUAGUUAUAGGGAAGGGUUUAGGUUGAACUCAUCCGAUAUAGAUAUGAUGAUUUGGAAUUUCAAUUUUAAAGUCAUAGCUGACAUAUCACUGUGCAAUGUUUAUGAUCUAUCAAGGCAUGCCAUUAUUCUGAUGGAGGAUUCUGUGAGACUACGGCUCUUGUCUUCAACACCAGAUAAAAACUUGGAACCAGUCCUCUUUCUUUUUAAAGAUGGUGGGCAAGGAGAUGUGUCUAAAUCUUUAUAUCUUGCUAUGUACUAUUACAGAACUUAUAGAUUCAGAGAAGCUCUUGGGGUUACAGCUGCUGUUAAAUCAAAACUAAUUCAGCCUUAUCUUUUGUAUUUUGACAGAGUAGACCCAGAGAAAUACAAUGAAUCUGUAUCUGGUUGGCCUCUGUCUAGACGGAUUAAGAAGGCUUGUGCAAGUUCUAUUGGUUUGUGUAGUCAUACUUACUAUAUUUUGGAACUUUGUUUUGAACAAAAUUUGUGCGAAGAAAACGGAAUGACAGGCGUCCUUCGUUUAGUUUGGGAGCCUCUACUGUCAUCAUUGUCCGGAACGCCCUUCAGUAGGCUAACGAUCUUCGGAUCUAUAUACCGGUGUGUAAUUCCACCUUUAACAGCAAAUGAUCCCAACGGCACACCAUACGUGUCGCAAUUAUAAUCCCCAACUAACAGCAAUGAAAAGAUUUGUAAGGACCGCUCUCCGCCGUUCCCUGAGUACCAGCUCCCGUCAUGGGGGGAAAUACAACGAACCGCUGUCAGGGAACGAUAUGCCCCGGUCCGGGGGGAUAGCCUCCAUGAUGCGUCUCCCCGUACAGACAGAUUCCCAGGGUUUGAAGGCUUGCUUUGUGGGAAUUCCCAUGGACAUCGGAACGUCCAACCGGUCCGGGACCAGGCUAGGACCACGACAAAUCCGGACCGAGUCGGCGCUGGUUCGGAGGACCAACAUCGCCACAGGGGCCUCGCCGUUUGACUCUUUCCAAGUAGCUGACGUCGGUGACGUGAACUUUAACCUUUACAAUCUUCCUAAGGCGUGUGAGGACAUCCGGGACUAUUACCGGAAGUUGAUUAGUAAUGGCUGCAUACCUCUAACAAUGGGAGGGGACCACACAAUUAGCUACCCCAUCCUGCAGGCCAUGAAGGAGAGGUACGGUCCCCUGGGAAUGGUCCAUAUCGACGCCCACUCCGACACAAGCGACACGAUGCUGGGGGAGAAGAUUGCCCACGGGACGCCCUUCCGUCGGGCGGUGGAGGAGGGGUGCCUGGACCCCCACAGGGUCAUUCAGAUCGGACUCCGUGGGUCCACAUAUUCCGUGGAGGACUACGAUUGGGCGAGGAACCAGGGAUUUCGAGUGGUAAUGGCGGAGGAGUGUUGGCACAAGUCCCUGGCCCCCCUGAUGAGUGAGGUACGUGAUAUGAUGGGCGACAGACCGGUGUAUAUAUCAUUUGACAUCGAUGGACUCGACCCCGCCUUUGCACCGGGAACAGGUACCCCCGAGAUAGGUGGGCUGACCUCGAUACAGGGACUGGAGAUCGUCCGGGGUUGCAGGGGACUGAACGUCGUCGGGGGUGAUCUCGUGGAGGUGUCUCCUUCUUAUGAUUUGAAUGGAACGACCGCCUUGACGGGAGCUAACCUUUUGUUUGAGAUGCUUUGUGUCCUACCUGGGGUCAAGUACCUCCGCUGACGUCAUUCGAAUGUCAUCAUGCAUAUCAUGAUCAGGCGUUGAUUUCUCUUACGUAUUGAAUAACUAUAUAUUUAAACUUCCGGUGAUUAUAACAUGUUCAUCUGUUUAAAAAUAAAAAAUAAAAAUCCCCCGUGGACGUGUUCCGUGUUUAUGCCUCUGUUUUACGGCUGAUAACAAGCCCUGCCGACUGACACCAUUUUAAGGUCACAUGAGGUCAAUGGAAAUAUUUACUAGGGAUGCUGGAGUAGCAAUACAGGGAUCGAGAUUUCGAAAUGCAAUUGUAAAGUAUAUGUUUUGUGAUUCUUUAGAAAAUUGCUACCGGGCAGACAAGGUAAAAAUUUAUUUUUAUUAUUGGAAUAAAUAAUAAUUUGCAAAAACAUGUACAUGCACAAAAACGAGCGAUAAAGGGAUCGAAAACAAGCGUUAAUAUUGGGCGUUCUCUGUUCUGUUGUUGAAACGUCUCUCUUUUUAAAAAGAAAUUGAUAAAUUCUAAGGUCCUCAUGGCCUAUCACUGGGUUUUGUUUUUUUGCCACAUGUAAUUUAUAGAUUUAACUCGGUGAAAUCGAGGACGAUAGAGCUAGGGAAUUGUCUGUACAUUGUGAUAAAUCCCGACCACGCAAUCUUGCACAACCUUAUCACGGGCAACGUUUUUAUUUCUCGCAGUUUAGGAAAGAACUUCUAAACAUUGUGGGGAAAAGUCUCGAGGUUGAAAGUAACAGAGAGAGAAACCACCUGUACUCAGACGGUGGGUUCGUGUAUUUAAUGAAUUAUAUGUCUAUGCAUGGACCGAUGAACUACUUAACGGAAACUAGGUAACGUUCUAUGUGUGUAUUUCACUACCUGGUUUGAAUAAUUCCGAUACCUUCAAACCAUUCAAGUCUGUAAUUAUAUAAACUGACAAGCUAUUUGACGACAGCUUGAGACGGUGAUUUAUUUACAUUUCUGGAAAAUGAAUUCAUGAUUUAAAAGAUUAUCUUGGUGAUAUUCAUUUCAGUGAAUUGAAUGGAAAAUUGAAUUUCUACACUCUUCAGUGCAUAUUAGAUUCAAUUCCAUUGAGAUUAUCCAGCUGCAGAAUUUGUGCUCAGAAAUUCUUGAUUAACAACAUUUCAGACAGGAUGCUGCUUACACUGUGAUGAUCAAACCUUCCUGUGACCUGUAGCUGGUAGUCAGCUGUGUGCAUUAAUGGCCAGCCAAGUUUGUUAAGUCUUCUUAGGAGUCCUACAGAAUCUCUCAUCAUGUCUGGGCCCCCUAUCGACAGAGGCUGGGCAAUAUUGGUGCUUGUAGGAUUUUUCAUCACUUCGUUCAUCAUGGUGGGAACAGCGAAAUCCUAUGGGAUCCUAAUGGGGGAGCUGAUGAAACAUUUUAAGAUUUCUGCAGCCACUGGAGCGCUGGUCAUGGGUGUUUCAGGGGCAGUGUACACCAUUACAGCUCCGAUCUGCGUGGCGUGCGGUGAGGUGUUCUCCCAGAGGAAGGUGGUGAUUGUUGGCAGCCUAAUUGGAUUCGUUAUGGUGGGGCUCUCCUCUCUGCUUGUUAGCAUGGAGUACUUUAUCUUCUUCUAUGGUGUUGGCACAGGUCUAGCUAAUGCUUGUUUCUUUGGCAAUGGAUUGGUUAUGGUUGGAAUGUAUUUCAAGAAAUGGAGAUCCCUUGCAACUGGGCUGGCCUUGAGUGGAGCCAGUGUUGGGACCUUUGUUAUACCUAUCCUUCUGGAAGCUCUCCUAGAAACGUUUUCUCUCUACGGUGCCAUCCUGGUUAUAUCGGCCUUUUACUUCAAUGGCUGUGUCAGUGCUGCUCUCUAUAGACCUUUUUCAUUCUAUACCAAAUGUGCUGAGAAAAAAAAUUCACCAGACUCUAAAAAUGAACUUUUACCUCAAGAAGAGCCAACUGUCAAGGAACCAACCGAACAGUCUGAAACAGAGAAAAUUCAGACUGAGUCUGAGAAAAAUACUGAGUACUCUCAUGUAGAAAGUGAAGAGGAGGUCAAGAAAAGUCUUCUGGAAUUAAACCAGACAGAAGACACAACGAGCAAACAACCUGCCCCAGCACCCAGUGGGCGGCCAGUCUGGAGGUUUGAACUUUGUGGACGGACCUGGUCUCUUCCAGUGAUUAUCCAGUUCAAUGUCCUGAAAAUGCCAGUAGUUCUGUUCUUCACUGUGUUCAGCUUCUUUGUGUUCAUAGGUUACUUUAACUUUAUCUUGUUCUUGCCGGUGGACGCUCUCUCCCGAGGGAUCACCAGGUACGAGAAGGCUGUGCUGGUGUCGUGCACGGGCGUGGGGGACCUAGUGGGAAGGAUACUGGUUGGUUUCCUUGGAGAUCUGAAGCUCAUCCAGCGCUACAAGAUCCUGGCCAUCAGCUGUAUUCUGUGCGGGGCCAACAUCAUUAUGUUUGAGAUAGCUGGCCAGGUGUACUGGUGGAUGGCAAUCCAUGCUACUCUGUAUGGGUUCUUUGGAGGCUGCUAUGUGGCCAUCAACAGUAUUGUGCUUAUUGACAUGGUGGGACUGAAACUGAUGCCUAAAGCCUUGGGGGUGGUUCUACUGAUUCAAGGGCUAGGGGCUGCCAUUGGACAACCCUUAGAAGGUAAGAUUAGGGAUGAAACCCGUACCUAUACUUCCCUGAACAUCAUCAACACUGUCCUAAUGGUCAGCGCGGGCAUGUUUCUGUUCCUGUACCCACUGGUCAAGCGGUUCCAGGACAAGCCCCCAAGGAAAGAAGAAAGCAUGCAGGUUCAAGUCCCAGAAGAAGCAUGAAGAUUAAUACUGGUAAUAGACAUCAGUUUUCUGGCACAAAACUGGAAUUGUUAUGCUUUUUUUUUUCAUUGAGAGCUGUUCUUUUCUUAUAGUGCUUUUUAGGUAGGUUUGUUAGCCUAAUAUGGCUUUUUGAGUGUUGUUUGGAUUAUUAAGGUCGAUUGUGUGUUUGUGUUUGGGAGGAGGUAAUAAUGUGUUUCUGAAAGUCUAUAAAAAUCAGGGUAACUUACCGUAACAUAUUUUUUAUUGAUCAUUAUAUGUUUUUGAAAAUAGUUAAAUGAUUUUUUUAAACCUGCUGUAUUUUGAGCCAAUGUUUAUUUGAAGACAAUCAAAUUCAGGUUUUCACCAUGUAUAUCCUUACAGUUUUUGGAGUUUUUAGAGCUAGUGCCAUGAACAUUUCAAACUGUAUGAAACCAAUUAUUUUUUUUGUAAGAGAGUUGAAAGGAACAUUUGUGUACCUCUUAGUCGGGAAUAUUUGUAAUGAAACUUCAAUCCUGUAAAACUGUCCUUGUGCAACACUAACAUGUUUUCAGUGGAUGAAAUAAAAUUGUUACAGGGUGUAUGUGUAAAAAUUGGUCAGCAAAUCUUGCUAGUAUGGAGGUCAGAUGUAAAGAAAUCUCAGCUGUAAGCCAUAGGAAGCAUAAUCCCUCGUAUCUAAACACUUUUUUGACAUGGACACAAAGAAUAUCAGUUGUCAUGUAUUAAAAUUCAGGUCCUUCUGAACUUCUUUAUAAGAAAUUGUCAUAUUCUUGUUAUAUACUUUGUCAUAAUGCAGUCUCUUUGGUCAGGAUUACCUUGUAUUUAUUUAUUGUGUGCUGCAGGUGCCCUACAAAUGGACAAAUGUAGACCAGAUGGAAAUUUAUAUCUAGCUGCACAUACUGUGCUACUGUUGUAAGGAUGGAUUUUUGUCUUUUAUAACAUUGUACUAUUAAAACAUAUUGUUGUAUUGUACAUUGUUCAAAUGAUAAAGGAUUUUUUUUUAAAAUUUUACUUUGUGUUAGUGCAUAUGGACGGUUUUUUGCCUGUUGUUAAAAUUAGUUAAUGUGACUUUUGUCAUAUUUUACACUGGACUGAUGAUGAAGAAUAUGGAAUCGAUUUGAUUUUACUUUGUGCUUCAGCAUUAAUGAUAUUUUUCCUCUUGUAUUAAGAAUUAGUCACUAGUAUGACUUUUGUCACUGUAAAAAUUUAUUUAACUUUGUGCUGUUGAUGGAGCAAUUUUUUUUAUUUUAAUUUACGCUACUGCAUUUAUUGGGACAUUUUUUUAUAUGUUCUUUUUUUUUAAAGAUUGAAGACACUAAAUUUUUUAUUAUUCCAUUAUUUAAUAUUGUAGGGCAAGUUGGUAUAUUUGGGUUGGAGUUUGUAAUUGAUAGUGAUGCUCAGGUGAGCAAUACAGUAUUGGGACCUCAUUUCAUUAUCAUUAUGAUGUCAUACAAGUAUGUACAAUGUACUACUUUAAGGACAGUUUUGUCAUACUGACACUUAUAUUUGGCACAGACAUGUAUAAUUGUGAAGUUUAUUCAAAUAAUAGGAAAGAGUCACAAAUGUUUCACCAAGUUUUAAGACCUCCUCAGACCUUGUAUGUUGACUGACUGAAUCUUUUUUUUCGAUUUUUGAUUUUUACAUCUCUUCUGAACUAUUUUAAUUCUAUUCCAUAAGUAAGCAGUUAUGCUAGAAAAUAGUUUUGGAACCCUUUUUAUCAAUAUAUAACUAGUCUUCUGAAUUGUAUUCCCAGAGAACACUCAUAUAGUUUAUCUGCACAGCAAAGUACAGUCAUGCCUUAUUAAUCUUGAACUCAAAGGGGCCAAGAAGUGUGUGUGUCCAGCUUGCUUCCUUAUAACCAUUGUAUUAUAAUUUAAGGCAUCAAUAAAUGUUCAAGAUAGUUCUGGUAUAUUCCACAAUGCUGAUCUGACAAUUGUGAUUUAUGUUAGAAAGUAAGUUUGGCAUUUUUUUGUUCAUAUUUAAUUGUUAAGUAUGGUAUUUUAACUGUUUAAGCACUGCCAGAUCUUAGUGAGAAGCACAAAUAAGUGUUCCCUAUCCAUAAUUCUUAAGUGCAGACAUUAUUUUCUUAACUGCAGAACUAUAGUUCUUUAGAAAUUAGUAGUUACAAGUGUCCUUCAUUUAUCAAACAUGGUGUAUUUGACACGUCACAGUUCUCUAGGUACAACUGUACCCAUUUUCUAUGCUGCUGGUCUCGCCGUUGAGUGUACUAUGUAUAACCAUCUUGUUGUCCAGCAGUUACUGUAAUGCUGUUUCCUACAAUAUUAUUUCUCCUCUUCAUCUGUGUCGUUCUUUAUAAACUCUUUUAUUACCUAGUGCCAUUUCUUACAUGAGACUAGGGUUCAUGCGUAGAUGGGGGAAGCUAACCCCCCCCCCCCCCCCUUCAAAAUUCAAUUUUUUUUAAAAUUACUUACUAAUAAAAUUACCAAAAAUAUACCUCAGACCCCCCUGGAAAACUCAAAUAACCGUCAGACUUCACCCCCUGGACAAAUUUUCUGGAUCUGCAGAGCUUAGGUUUUAUGAUUUUCAAAAGGAAAUUUAAAUUGGGAUUGAAAUCCACACAAUUUCGAUAAAUCACUGUGUAGCAAUGCCAAAAAUCACCCUGUUAUAAAGGAACAAGAGUCUAUCAUCCCAGUGAAAACAGGUUCAUUAAUUGUACCUCAAUAAAAUAUUUUUGAGAUUAUUUUUUCAAAACGCCCUUGUAUUUUUGUAUGCAUAAUAAUAAAAGUUAAAAUGUAUAUUUCUCUGUUGUUUAUCUUUUUACUGCAACAACUGUUGGCUGGCCAGU